AUACCAAGUACAGACGAGUGCUAUACAGUAGUCCAAGUACCGUACAAAUACUAUAGCAUUUCCAGGAUAGUACUAGGCCAGCUCCUGUGAGGAGCUCAUGCUGCAGAGAAAGCAAUGUCUGCAGACAAUGUCAUGCAAUGACCAUACAUGGCAGAAGCUGAUCUGUCCCAAGCAAAUCUGAAAGGAAAACUCUGCGACUGUGGGAAAAACACUGUGCCGCAGGGUUUUUCAAAACUCCCGCACACAGUUGAAUAUGCUGGAGGCUCUCUUUGAGGUGGCCCCUUGCACCCCAAGAAGAGCAUGCAGAUCUCCCGCAUCCUUCCCCUACUGAAAGCGGGCAGGAUAGAGAGAUAAUCCCUGGCAUUCACGUGUAUAUGAGGAGGGGUUAAAAUGAUGUGGACACACAAAUCCCUGCGGUUUCCCACUGUGGGAGCGGGGCUUGAAGAUGUCAAAGCUGGCCCCGCACCGAAGUUCUCCGCAUCGUCUCUGCUCCGGGCUUCUCCCAGAAAGGAGAAAAAAAAACAGAAGGUGGUAGGAGUGACGCACCUCCCUGUCCGAUAUCUGUGUAGUGUACUGCGAUGCUGAACUAAGAGAAGCUCUACUCGUACCUGAUGUGGCCUCCAGAACUGAACACAGAACUCUAGAUGAGGCUGUACCAAUGACCUCUUACUUCUUACUUUCCUGCCACUGAUUCCUUUCCACAUGCAACCAGACAUCUGACUAGCCUUCCUCAUUGCUUUGUUACAUUGCUUCCCGGUCUUCAAGUCACCUAAAAUAGUGAUUCCUAGAUCCCUUUCCUCCUCAGUAGUGUCCAUUAUAGUACACUUGAUACUAUAUGCAGCCUUUGGUUUUUUUUAGUCCCAAGUGCAUCAUUUAGCAUUUUUUUUUUUACAUUAAACUGUAGUUGCAACAUUAUUAUCCAUUACUCUAGUUUACCUAGAGCCUCAAUCAUUUGUUUUACCCCUCCUGGUGUGUCUAUCCUGUUGCAUACCUUUGUGUCAUCUGCAAAAAGUCAUACUUUAGCUUCAAAACCGUUUGCAAUGCGCACCAACAAAGAUAUUAAAAUGCACUGGCCCAAGUACAGAUCUCUGGGGUACUCCAGUGGCAACAUUUCCCUCCUGUGAAUGCAUUCAAUUUACUAGAAUUUUCUGUUCCUCUCCUGCAACAAAGAUCUUAUAAAUUCAACUGUCCAAGAAUCCAAUUCCAAUGUUUCCAGUUUAUAUAGCAGCCUGCAGUGUGGUUAUCUAAAGCCUUACUAAAGUCUAGAUAUGCCACAUCCACAGCACCCCUUGAUCUAUUACUUUAGUCACCCAAUCACAAUAGUCAAUAAGAUUGUUUGACAUGAUUUGACCCCGGUAAAUCCAUGUUGUUUGGGAUCUUGUAAAUUGCUGGAUUUGAGAGAUUCCACAGCUCCCUCAUUUAAUAAUGUUUCCAUUACUUUCAUGUUUUAUACGUUUUCCCUCUAUACUAAGCAAUCUGGAAAUGUCUGUGUUAAAACGGAACGGAUUGCAAAUAAUGCAUUAUACAAUGUUUCAAUGAACACCAGCUUCAUCACACAGCCCCUUUAUGAUCAAACUUUGAUCUCAUAAUGUUGUUAACACUUUCAUAGCCUUAGCUGGAUGAAUUCAAAGCUUCCAGUUCCUUGUAAUUCAAAUUUAGCCUUUAAUUCAAACCAUGUGUAUUUAUUGUAGUAAUUAUUAUUAUUAUUAUUAUUAUUCAUAAUGAACUCUACCCCAGGCUCAGACUUUAUCAAUUCAAAUGUAUAUGGUUUAGGCCAGUGGUUCUCAAACUCGGUCCUCAGGACCCCACACGGUUCACGUUUUCCAUGUCACCCAGCAGCUGCACUGUGUAUCACCAACUGUCACAUUUUAAAAAUCUACAGGUGACCUGCAAAACAUGGACCGUGUGGGGUCCUGAGGACCGAGUUUGAAAACCUGGGGUUUAGGCAAUGGCAUUUGGCAGUGUUUUCAUUUUAUUGUGUAUAUUAUAGUACUUGUGUACUUGUGUAUAUUAUAUUACUUGUGUACAUUAUAGUACUUGUGUACAUUAUAGUACUUGUGUAUAUUACAGUACUUGUGUACUUGUGUUCAUUAUAGUACUUGUGUAUAUUAUAGUACUUGUGUACAUUAUAGUACAGGUUGAGUAUCCCUUAUCCAAAAUGCUUGGGACCAGAGGUAUUUUGGAUAUCGGAUUUUUCCGUAUUUUGGAAUAAUUGCAUACCAUAAUGAUAUAUCAUGGUGAUAUUACCUAAAUCUAAGCAGAGAAUGCAUUUAUGUUUCAUAUACAACUUAUACACACAGCCUGAAGGUAGUUUUAGCCAAUAUUUUUGAUAACUUUGUGCAUUAAACAAAGUGUGUGUACAUUCACACAAUUCAUUUAUGUUUCACAUACACCUUAUACACACAGGUCAUUUAAUACAAUGUUUUUAAUAACAUUGUGUAUUAAACAAAGUUUGUGUACAUUGAGCCAUCAAAAAACAAAGCUUUCACUAUAUCACUCUCACUCAAAAAAGUCCGUAUUUCGGAAU